CACUUGGAAUCGGUGCAUUUACUAAAAAGGGAAAAGAAAUUAUUCUUUUGGAGCUUUUUAUCUUCUUCCUUACGAGGACCGUCGCUUUUCUUCUUGGAAUUUCUUUUCGACCGCUCGUUCACCUCCAUCGUCGAUGCCCACCACCAGCAUGUCUCCGCCGCCUCACUCUUCUUCCCACGGCUGGAUCCCCACUACUCAUCAGUGGGUUUUGGUGUUUAAUCAUGGGAUUAUGAAGAAAAGAAGACACAGUGAAUUGCAGGAGGAUUGCGUCCACAAGCUUUACGAUAGAAAGCUUUUUGGGAGAUUAAAUAUCCCUAGGCGAGGAACCACAUCAUCACGCGUUGAAGAUUCACUAGCAGGCGAAUGGUAGUUGCAGUUGAUGUUACUUGACAUGAUGCAAUCGGCACUAACAUGAACUGAAGAAUAGAAACUUCCCUCCUAAAGUAGUCUAUAAAAAGGGCUUCUUACCAUGUAAAACUUGUCUAGUCUAAAUGAACCAAAAUGUAGAGAGCUCCAUCAGAGUCGGUGGAAAGGACUAGCCUUUUUGCCUUCGGUAAAGAAUACUUCAUCUCUUUUUCGAUCAACCUUAUAAGUGAGAGCUUAGAGUAAGAUUAGACAGAGAAACUACAACUUUUUUUUCUUCUUAACUUGUAAAAGAACUAAAGGAUGCUUGCCUGCAAGUCAGCUCACAUCUCUUGUUUUUUAUUUUUGUACUUUGUAAUGUAUGAGUUUCAUAUUAUACAUGGUCGAAAGGCCUACAUUCUUUAAUA